GUGGGGGAAUGUGGCUUAACUCAUGAUAGCAUUAUGUCCUUACCGUUCAAGUUACCCUUGAUGAUUUGGUCCCUGGACCAGGCAGAGCUGAAAACACAAGUGUCCCCUGGUGUCCAAGUAGAAGACCACACAUCUCCAAGGAGCUCAGUCCUCUAUUGGCAGCUUGGCUUCUAGGGGAAUGCUCAGAAAGUCUCCACAUGCUGUUUCUUCCUCUAAAGGCUGUUGAUGGCAUCAUGGUGAAUAACCACGGCUUGCUUCAUGCUGUUUUGCUUUCAAGUCUGAAAACUUCAUAUGAGAACCUCAGCCUGAAUCAUGUCGCUCCAGGAGCUGCUAUAAUGUACUUGACCAUUGAGAACCUGGAAAGGUUGUCUACCAUUCACAACCAAGCUUGCUGGGCACAAUGGAGUCAUUAUUUCAGAGGUAAGAGAAUGAUUUCAUCCCUACCAUGGCCUCACUAGAUGCCUAGACUGUGGUUCCUUGAUGACACACUUUUAUGAUUUUCUAACUGUAUUUGAAGCAGUUUCAGUAGUGACAUAUAAUCACAACUUAAUUCUUUGAGGCAUGACGGGCAAGUCCUUCUUUACAUCCUAAAAUGUAGAUUAGAAAACCUAGAGCAUUGUUUCUGGACAAAGAAGGAAUUCAGGAACCUGGUGUACAUUGCAUGACUCCACUUUUGUUGCAACCUGUAUUUUAUUUUCCAUGCAGGGAUAUGCCUUACUUAAGAAUAAAGGUCAUAGAUGAAUAAUCCUGCUUGUUCGC
rnacentral:lncRNA from 1 species